rnacentral:tRNA from 1 species
GUCGCGAUGGUCAAUCCGGAUGAUCAAUUUCAUUAAAGCGAUUGAUUUAUAUGAUUUCGCAUCGGCCUGCCAAGCCGCGUAGGCCGGUUCGACUCCGGCUGGCGACG